AAAGGAAAACCCAGAAGGCAUUACCUUCAGAAUGUACACUUAUUUCCUUCCCUUCUCACCAUUAUACUUAUCAGGUGUCAGCUGGCUCUAUGGGUGACUAGUUCUUCAUACUGCAGGACACACAUGCUGAUAUUGUUUGGGCAAACUUAUCCUGAGGGUAUGAUAGAUUUACCACUCUGGGAAUACAUAUUUGGAAUGAAGAUAAAAUCAUCUUCCAACCUGCCCUGUGACAAUCUCAUCUCAGAACUUCAGAUCUAAGCAGGUAGCAACGGCCGGUGCUGAUGCCUAAAAUGAAAGUCUUCCAGGAAAGAAGAAAUGGCAUUUUUUUCUACCCAAAGAUGAAUGAGCAAAACAUGAGUUCAAUUUCCUCUCCAUCCAUUCCAUCUAAACCCCCACCCUACAAAAAGUGAAGAAGCUGGGAUUUCAGGAGCUUCUGGAGAGAGAGAGCUCUGUGGUACAAUACCACAAAAGGUGGCAGAGAUGGCAUUUGAGACUAGUGCUGAAGGGCACAUGCUCAGGAAGAAACAACCCUACCUGGAGAAUUGCCUCACAGACUCCUAUUUCAUGCAGUACUAAGCUUCCUUCUUCAUAGAGUCAAUGAAUAUUCAGCCCAUCCAAUUCAACAACAACAAAAAAAGCAAUUUCCCUUGAUGCCUGUUAACAAAUGCAUUACAAGCCUCAGAGACUCUGCUGAUUAACAUUAAACAAAAUAAAAUCUCAAGUAAGAA